GACGUUAGCGGCGGACGGGUCAGUAACACGUGGAUAACCUACCUAUNNGACUGGGAUAACUUCGGGAAACCGGAGCUAAUACCGGAUAAUAUAUNGAACCGCAUGGUUCAAUAGUGAAAGACGGUUUUGCUGUCACUUAUAGAUGGAUCCGCGCCGCAUUAGCUAGUUGGUAAGGUAACGGCUUACCAAGGCAACGAUGCGUAGCCGACCUGAGAGGGUGAUCGGCCACACUGGAACUGAGACACGGUCCAGACUCUACGGGAGGCAGCAGUAGGGAAUCUUCCGCAAUGGGCGAAAGCUGACGGAGCAACGCCGCGUGAGUGAUGAAGGUCUUCGGAUCGUAAAACUCUGUUAUUAGGGAAGAACAAAUGUGUAAGUAACUAUGCACGUCUUGACGGUACCUAAUCAGAAAGCCACGGCUAACUACGUGCCAGCAGCCGCGGUAAUACGUAGGUGGCAAGCGUUAUCCGGAAUUAUUGGGCGUAAAGCGCGCGUAGGCGGUUUNNNAAGUCUGAUGUGAAAGCCACGGCUNNANNGUGGAGGGUCAUUGGAAACUGGAAAACUUGAG
rnacentral:rRNA from 1 species